rnacentral:rRNA from 1 species
AUUGAACGCUGGCGGCAGGCCUAACACAUGCAAGUCGAACGGUAACAGGAAGCAGCUUGCUGCUUCGCUGACGCGUGGCGGACGGGUGAGUAAUGUCUGGGAAACUGCCUGAUGGAGGGGGAUAACUACUGGAAACGGUAGCUAAUACCGCAUAACGUCGCAAGACCAAAGAGGGGGACCUUAGGGCCUCUUGCCAUCAGAUGUGCCCAGAUGGGAUUAGCUAGUAGGUGGGGUAACGGCACACCUAGGCGACGCUCCCUAGCUAGUCUGAAAGGAUGACCAGCCAAACUGGGACAGAGACAGGGUCCAAACUCCGACGGGAGGCAGCAGAGGGGAAAUUAGCACAAUGGACGCAAGCCUGAUGCAGCCAUGCCGCGUGUAUGAAGAAGGCCUUCGGGUUUUAAAGUACUUUCAGCGGGGAGGAAGGUAGUAAAGUUAAUACCUUUGCUCAUUGACGUUACCCGCAGAAGAAGCGCCGGCUAACUCCGUG